AAGAAUGCAGGCGAAAUUAUGAGGCUCCUUCGCUUCCUCUCCCCCCUCCCUCCCCUCGCAGUAUCCAAGGCAGUAAAAUCCGUGCGAUGGAGAAGAUGCGGUAGCAGCAGCUCCUAGGCGCCUGCAGGGGAUUUCCCAACUUUCCCAGCCGCUUUGCAAAUUCUCACCAAAGUUAUCCGGAGUUUGCCAGUCUGUUUUACAGACUAGUAUGUAGUCAAAGGCAACCUCUCAAAGCCCACCAGCUCAGCUACAUGGGUAGAGAAGAAACAGAACAGAAUAGAGACAGGAUUUUGUUUCUUGGAUCUGGCCAUUAGGCAAGAUUUAGGAUACUGUUCUGCCCCCCCAUAAAAAGAAGAAAAGGAAAAAAAAAAACAUCUGAGAAAAAAAAAAUACAACCCCCCAGCUGAGAGCUGCUAACCUAUGGUUUGCUCAUUGAAAUCACUAUGUAAUAACCUUUCUGAACCAGAAGUAAUUGAGCAGCAAGAAACACCGAAACCCCAUAAAGCCUUUUUCAGACAGCUGUGUCCUCAAAGGGGACAGAGAGGGUUUAUGAUACACACGAUUCUUUCAUCUGAGAACAAGAUAGACAACACGGCCUUCUGAGUACAAGUUCCCCUACUCCUCCACCUAAAGGCCACCUAAAUGUUCUAAGAAGUAAACAAAUCACUUCGAUGAGAAAACAAAUAUUAAUUAAACUACCAUACAUCACAAAACUUACUCCUACUGAAAUAAAAACUUUACCUAUGAGUAUAAUAAUAUCAGGUCCUAAAUGGACACGUAUGUGUCAGGAUAUGUUUCCUCAACAACCUAUGGACUAAUUCCUUUUGAGCUUUUCUAAACUCUUUUCCUCAUUACAGUAGAAAUUUUCUAUCAGAAGAAAUAUUACCAACAUUAGUUUAUCCCAUUAAAUAAUAUUAACUUCAAGAUUAAAACUCAGCUGUUUUAGAGCACUCUAAAACAGAUUAAGUACAAAUCAAUAUUCAUGUAGUGACUAGAUGAAGUUCCUUUUGAUUAAAAAAAAAAAUAUAUCCCCCCCAAGCUGAAUCCAUAUUUUCUGGCAGCAUUUUAACUGAAAAAUAAUACAGAUAUAAGCAAUUUCUGGCACCAUGAUUUCUCCUACAGAGAAUAUUAACUCUCUGUUCAUGUUAACUUUCAUCUCACUCUUUUUCUGCAGUACUGAAAUAUUAAACCACUAACAUAAAAAAAAAGAGAAAAUUUUAAAACCAAUUCCUCUGCAAUUACUAUAAAGAAAUAAGAGAACCAAUAAUAAAACACAUUUAAAGUGAAACAGCUAUUAAAAUUCACACACACUUCUUCACCUCACUCCUACCUACUCCCUACAGCUUCUAUAUUAUGUAGCUGGAACCUUACAGUAAAGUAAAAAGGAAGUAAUUUUUAGCUAAACAUACUGAAGAAGGCCCUGCUAAACUAGGCUACUUUUCAGGAAGUAUAAAUCCACCUAUGUGACUAGUAUGGCAGAGAUAAAACAACCACAGCUUUUAUACAGAGAAUUAGGUAAUUCUUUAAUCUAGCCUUAGAUAGAUUUUAUUCAACGCUUACAUAGAUAUAAACUGUAAGAAGCAAGAAAAAUCCACAACGCACCUAUCCAAACUUCACUAGAAGGGAUUGUUGUUAGUCAAGCUACUAACCAAUAGAUACGAAGGACAACUGGAAAACUCAGAAGACGGAUAACUCAGGAAGCACACUGAUCAUACCACAGCUGGGCAUCAGUACUUCAGCAGCGCACAGGAAUUAAGAGCAAGUGUCAACACCUGAAUCUUCCUCUCCCUGCUGCUCAGGAUAAACCAUGAUUGACUGGAGCAGAUCAGAUUAAGGACAGCUGGUUCUUAGAGUCCUACUGGAAUGGAAUAAAGCUGAUGACUCUGGGUUGAUAAUAGGAGGUUAGCUAGCAUUGAUUACCAAAGCUACCAAUUUUUUCUCUAUUAUGUAGAGUAGUAUAAGGACUUUUUGCAUUGCUUGAUGAUGUUGUGGAUUUUCCUAACAGCAAUAUCUGUGCAAAAAAUAGUGAGGAAAAAGAGAAUUGAGGUAUUAUUCUUUUAAUAUUGCUUUGACUUGUUUUAUAUGUUUUUUGUUAAUUUUAUCAUAAUAGUAAUGCUGACUAUUUUAUUUCAAGCACAUGAAGGAUAUUAUAGCUCUAAUAUGGGCCCACUAGACAACCGUGGAAAGAAAAUUAGUUAUACUAUUUACAUAUGUAUGAGGGUAGGCAUUUUUAUAAGAGCCAUUUCACAAAUUGGUAUGGAACUCAAAGAGAUGAGCUCUCUUUUUUUUUUUCUUUUCUUUCCCCUGAAGCCACACAGAACCCAGACUCCCCUGAGAUUUAAUACCUCAUGUGGAUGUUUAUGUAGUUUCUCUGUGUCCCUUAUUUCUCAAAUUGUAGAAAUGGCUUUGCAAGGCAGACACCAAAUAUUUACUAUGUUCUUUAUAACCUCCACCCCACUGAAAAUGAAUGAAGUAUGCUCUUCUCUUUGCUGAGCUGUACUGUUUCUUAACACCAAUUUCAUUUUUAAUAGGAGUUUCAAAGCAUUGCAGUUAGCUGCAAAAAAAAAAAAAACAAUUUGCAUAAUGUUAUAAAAAUGCUUCUCAUGCUGUGUUAGAACCUCUCUUAAAUGCAUUUCAUGUCAUGAUGAUGGCAACUGUAUCCCCUGUUAAGCCACAAGGGUUAUUGCAUUGGGUUUUGCUCCAAAAGACAUUUAAGCAUAUGCAUAACUUUUUCAGUUUUCUAGUUUAAUUUGCUUUACUAGGCAUGAACUUGAGCUUAGAAUUGCACUCAUACCUAGGAACUUUGCUAGACUGGAGCUUGGCUGUUGCUGAAUAUGGUUGUCCAACAACGACGCUUUGAUCUUUCCAGUGCAAAACUAUAUGCUUUGACAUGCUUGACUGUCAGCUUUUAAAGGUUAAAUAAAAAUCAUGUACUUUGCAGUGCUUCUUUACUGCAUUAUCCUUCAUAUUCAGACAGAGACUUGUUGUAUUAGCAGAAAAAAAAAAGAAGCUAUUGGUAACUGAUUACUACCUUUUAAAGACAGAAGAAAUCACAUGGUCAGCUAGUUAGAUCACUUACCAGAACACUACAGUACUGCGUUUCAUCAGUCUUGCAAUAAAGCCCAGCAGGUCUUAUGUAAAGGAAGCCUAUCUUUCAGAAGGCAUUGAGAUUUAAUUUGAAAACAUCAGAACAUAAAGAAUGUACAUUUACCUUUGUUGUUGUUGUUGUUGGUCCAGUUAUUAAUGACUGUUGUUGUGAUACUUUGAAAAUAAAAAGCACAAGACAUACUGGGCUAACUUUCAGCCACUGUUUUUAUAUCUUCCUCUAUUGAAAAGCCUUUUUAAUCCAAGUAUUUUCUGUCCUUAAAACAGUUAUAAGUUGAAAUCUGUUCACUUUUUGGUAUGUUUGAUAACACUUAUGUGCAAUAUUUGUCAUGUUUGUCUUAUUUCUUUUGAUGGUAUUGAAGGUCAAAAAUAGUGUUUCCUGUUGGAAACAAAACCAACUAAAAAAACAAUCCUUACAAUCAUCUCUGGCUAAGUAUUUGCAGAAAAACCUAGCAGCAAAAAGCCUUUUUAAAUUAAUUGUUUAAGCUUGUAUAGCUUUCAGAAAAGAUUGUUGAGUUCAGUCUGAAAGGUACUUCAGAGCCUUUUCCCACUCAAAGAGAGAAAGCAAAUGGAGAAAAUUCUGUUUGCUCAUGGUCACUAACACAUUAUUUUUAACGAAUUUCCUUUAGACACACUUGUAUCUACAGGUAUGUAGAUGUGAUAUUUGCACAUAAAAAAAAGGCUGUGAAUCUCCUGCAUGCUUGACAGACUUACAGCAAAUGUAGAUUUAUUUAUUUAAAUAUAUAAUUAUAGGCAUGAGCCAACCAUCCAAAAUAAAUCAGAGUUAUACCUAUAAAUGAGGUCUGAUCUACCUUCACCUCUCAUACAUGACUCAUGGAUGGCAAUGUUUUUUAAUUAUAAAGCCAUAUAUCCCAAAGCGUGAUUGAGUCAAGAAAAGAGAGAUGGACACAUGAAACAUCAAACAAAUUGGAGUCACCCAUUUACAGAUGUGUGCAGCCUGAGCAAGCUGAUCAGGAUUUAUACUAAGCAACAACAGUUCUAGGUACCCCACAGUUUUUCAGAACUUUAAUUAUUAUCAUCUGUUUCGUAUUAUAAUGGGGGUAGGAAAUUACAUUGUCUGAUGACCUUAAAUGUGUUAAUUUGGAAAAUAAGAGUAAAGUUUUCAGCCAGCUAGACAAGAAUACACUCUAGUAGUCCAACUUUUUAAAACAAACCAGGAGCACUACUGUAA